rnacentral:rRNA from 1 species
CAAAUGAAUUGACGGGGGCCCGCACAAGCGGAGGAGCAUGUGGUUUAAUUCGAUGAUACGCGAGGAACCUUACCAGGGCUCGAACGCAGGAGGAAUACUCCCGAAAGGAAGUAGCCAGAAAUGGCCGCCUGCGAGGUGCUGCAUGGUUGUCGUCAGCUCGUGCCGUGAGGUGUCAGGUUAAGUCCUAUAACGAGCGCAACCCCUAUUCAUAGUUGCCAGCAUAUUACGGUGGGGACUCUAUGAAAACUGCCUGCGCAAGCAGUGAGGAAGGUGGGGAUGACGUCAAAUCAGC